UCUCCGUCUUCACACGACUUCCUGCAGAAAAGCUUCUUCCAUCCAGAGAAGUUAAACAAGCAGCUGACUGUGACAGAUCCUCCUUCAGGUCCAGUGAACACAGACUCAGUGAGACCGUCCUGCAACAAGGAGCCUGAAACAUCAACACUCCUCCAGGUCGUUCUCAUCUCACUGAGCUUUAAUGUCACUUAAAGAAAUUCACAGAGACGACUUCUUUUCGUUCAUUUCCUGUUUUGUUUCAGGUUGAAUCGACGUCUGGGGACAAAUAAAAGUCUAAAUACGACUUAAAGAAAUUUAUAUAAAAUCAAAUAAAUAGAUUGAAUGAUUGUUUCAGGAAAAUAUGAAAUGAAACAAAUAAUAAUUGUAUCACACAAAUUAAAGAAACUGAA